UCUGUGUCCUGUCAUAGCAGCCUGUAGAAGAGGACGAGGAUGAGGAUUUCUCCCUGCCAUGGCUCCAGAGCCCAGCAGAGGCUCAUGUUCUCCCCAUUACCCUACUCCAUGUCCCCAUCCCAGGUGUGGUGAUGGCAGAAGGUGGGAGGCUGUGCUGUGGUUGCUGAAUCCCAGGGACUCGUGGAUCCCAGCUGCUGUCUGGGAAGGACUUCCCAGCCAAGCGGGAGCCCCGCAUUCUCCUGCACCCCCAGCCCCUUCAGCUGCUGAGGAAUUCAGAUGAGGACACAGCUCCGUACGAGGGGAAACUGAGGCACGGAGGAGGCUGGGACCUGCGGGUGCCACCCGACCCUCCUCUCGCAGCUGCAGAGAUGCUGCCACGUGUUCUGUGCCCUUGGCUUCUGCUUGGAGCAUCUUUUUGGAGGAGCUGUAAACUCUAGGUACCAAAGAGAAGGGAAGGAUAAAACAGCCGUAAAAAUCAGCCUGAUUGAAUGAUUUAUCCCGGCUCCCUCCGCACUCCCAAACUCUUCCCUUGACUCACAGCCUCCUUCCCCAGAUCCUGGCUUGUAUUUGGCCCCAGGGGUUAAAUUUUCAGGUGGAAAUUUAAAUAUAAUUUUUCAGGCGCAGCCAAAACGGAGCCCCAGGUCUCUGCGAAGGCUUUUCAAUCCCCUGUCCCAAACACGAUCUCCCCCCGUUCCCCCCCAGCCCUGGGGACCCCCGUGUGGCCGCAUUCCUCCUCGGUCCCUUUCUCAGCGGGGACUCAGCCGAGGUCGAGCCCUGCAGCGGGGACGAUCCCGGCUUCAGAAGAAGCUGCAUUGUUUCUUGGAGGGGUUGAUUUCUCCUGCUGUUUGUCUCUGCGCCUCCUCCGGGCUCUCUUUGGCCGUGCCAGUUUUGUUGGAUGCCCGAAGCUCCUCCCGGGUGGCAGCGGUUGAUCCCGAGCCGGACAAUGGGACGUGCUGCUGUCCUGGCUUUACUGGGAUAAAAUAUCCCCCUCCCUGCGCCGGGGGAUGCUGCGGGGGAGGGGAUGGGGACGGACAGACGGACGCUGUCUGGGUGGAUUCCCUCCAAAGGCUGAUCUGGGUGGGCGUUUCCACUGGAAGAUGCCCCGGGAGGUCGCUGAAUGGCCGGGUUGGAGGAGCUGGGGGAUGCCCCUGGGGGGGUUCCGGGGGGAUCCUGAAGCUCUAAAGGAUCUCGGAUAGCGAGUAAAGUCCUGUUUGCUGAG